UACGUAGGUGGCGAGCGUUGUCCGGAUUUACUGGGCGUAAAGGGAGCGUAGGCGGACUUUUAAGUGAGAUGUGAAAUACUCGGGCUCAACUUGAGUGCUGCAUUUCAAACUGGAAGUCUAGAGUGCAGGAGAGGAGAAUGGAAUUUCUAGUGUAGCGGUGAAAUGCGUGGAGAUUAGGAAGAACACCAGUGGCGAAGGCGAUUCUCUGGACUGUAACUGACGCUGAGGCUCGAAAGCGUGGGGAGCAAACAGG
rnacentral:rRNA from 1 species